CCAGGAUACUGACAAAGCACACUCGCCCCCAAGAGCAUCCCAGCAUACAACACAGGAAGCAAAGAUCCCAUCAUGAUGCUGAAUAAGGGUAUGAGAAGAAGAAGCUGAACUUGACGCACAACUGAAUCUGUUCAGCAACAUCAAGGGGUUCUAUUCACUAAACAAAAUAUGCAUGGAAAUACAAAGAGUGAAAAAUGUUGAACCUGAACGAGGUCACGGUUUAUCUUGAAUGAAGAAAUGACAGACUACACAACUGGGAAAUUGCCUUGUAGAUUAAAUGGGAAGAAGCUGAAAUUGCCGUAAUGCAGAUGGGAAGUCUAUGACCAAAAAAGAAAUGCAACAUCUAUCAUAGUUAUGG